rnacentral:rRNA from 1 species
UAGAUGGGACUUUCAUAGUAGGAGGAGCGGGCUGGAAUCACCCUCUCGGGGGGUACAGCCUUGCUGAAUUAUUUCCCCCUUGUCUUUUGCGUACUUCUUGUUUCCUUGGUGGGUUCGCCCACCACUAGGACAAACAUAAACCUUUUGUAAUUGCAAUCAGCGUCAGUAACAAAUUAAUAAUUACAACUUUCAACAACGGAUCUCUUGGUUCUGGCAUCGAUGAAGAACGCAGCGAAAUGCGAUAAGUAGUGUGAAUUGCAGAAUUCAGUGAAUCAUCGAAUCUUUGAACGCACAUUGCGCCCUUUGGUAUUCCAAAGGGCAUGCCUGUUCGAGCGUCAUUUGUACCCUCAAGCUUUGCUUGGUGUUGGGCGUCUUGUCUCUAGCUUUGCUGGAGACUCGCCUUAAAGUAAUUGGCAGCCGGCCUACUGGUUUCGGAGCGCAGCACAAGUCGCACUCUCUAUCAGCAAAGGUCUAGCAUCCAUUAAGCCUUUUUUUCAACUUUUGACCUCGGAUCAGGUAGGGAUACCCGCUGAACUUAAGCAUAUCAUAAAGCGGGAGGAAGAA